UAGAUCAUGAAGAAGUACAAGGAUUUUCGUUACAGUACAACUGACCGGUACUAUUACCAAAGAGCGAUUGCCGUCUAGUGAAGUAACGAAAUGGUAGUACAAAUGAACGAAGGUUGGUGUACUACAUAUAUCUCCAGGUUCGUUUUACAGGUACUAUUUCACAUAUAUAUAUAUAUAUAUAUUCAUUGAUUAUUGGCCAAACGAACCACAAGUUAGUGAAAGAGAUUUGUGUGGAAAAUGAAUAUGGAAAGUUGCCCAGAAUGGAGAAACAUCAUUGAGUGCAGCGUUGAUGAUGAUGAUGAUGAAGCCCGAUCCUAAUAUACAAGGAACCUCGAUCAGUAUUUGAUUGCCUUCAUCGACGUUGCACUCAAUCAUGUUUCUUGUCGCUGUGGUAUAUAUGCUGCUAAUUAAUUCUGGAAAACGCCUCUGAAGACUUCAAGAGCUGAUAUCCUAGCAGGCUUAUCUUCUACAAACACUAUGGCAAACAGGGGGAUGUGAGGGGCAUGAACUAUGGUGUUUGAUCAAGAAGUUGGAGAUUGCAUGGUGCCCUCAUGAAUUGUUAUUUAAGAAUUUUUUAUUAAUAUAAUUUCUUUUAGAAUUCAAAGUGCUUCUAGGAUAAUAUUGUUUCAUAUAUUAAGAGUGUAAGAAUAUGAGGAGAAAAGCAUAUCUUGAGUCGUUGAUUUGUACGGAUGUAUGCAGGAAUAAAGGUACACCGGUUGAACUU